CCCUCUUACACAUGAUGACAUAAUGUUGCUAGGGACAUCUGAGUCGAUGUGACGAAAAGGCAACAUUCCUGACAACAUGGG
ensembl:snoRNA